rnacentral:lncRNA from 1 species
AGAAUUUGAAUAGUAGAUUUGAGACUUGAAGACAGUUUCAAUUAUCUUUCUUGAUCUAGAUGUGUCCUUGCUACUUGACUUUACACCCAGCUUUCCACCCCCAUGUCAGUUAGGAAUUCAAAGCCUCGCUGAAGAAAUUUACAAUGUCAAUUAGCAAUUCUGAGACCUGCUUUCCUCCUAAGGCGUGUCCAGGUUCCAGAUUUCAGCCUUCAGAAGAGGCCUCUGGUCUCUGAGAUCAACCCAGGGGCUAAGUAGUCUGAGAAUCUGCAUGAGCUACAAGGGAAGGCAGUGGUUCCUGCGGUGAGAAUGGCCCAAGAACAUUUUGGAGCUCUGUGCACACAGUGAAUGUGUAAUAAGUGUGACAUGGCCCAUUGUGAAGCUGGGCUUAGUGAGGUCAUGUAUUCUUUUCUAGAAGAGGGUACUGGCAUUGGAAGUUGGAGAGGUAGAAUGGUUCCUGUGCUGUGUCUGCCUUCAUAUCACGGGCAGGUCGUCCUGCCUCCUGCUUCCAGGAGCUUUGCUUCGGGUUUUCUAAAGAUGUAAACAGAGACAUUUAACUCUUCUUAACAUCCUUGCUUCUGUCAAAGCUCAUUGCUUUCCAUUAAAUCAGUUUCAC